CCAGGCUGAUCUUUCUAGAUCUAUCAUCAGUCCAAAUUCUACACCAAUGUCAUAAUGUAGCUCAUUAUUACAUACACUCUUGACAGAAAACUUAAGGUGGAGAUGAUAACCAAAGAGGUGGGUCCUUCUCCUGUUUCAUUGUCAUCGUAGACACUUGCUGACAUUUAAUGAGGACAAAAAGACACUAUGGCAGAGGACAGAUGAGCAAGGGAAACUAGCCUUCAAGUCUUUGGACAUUUCUUGGUCUUACUGCCUUCAAAAGCAAAUUUAACAUCAGCCAUGUAGCCAGUUUUUCCUUGCCAAGGAUCAUGUAUGGCCACAAGUCACAGCUUUGGCCAGUGAGAUGCA
rnacentral:lncRNA from 1 species